rnacentral:rRNA from 1 species
GGCGGUUUGUCGCGUCUGCUGUGAAAUCCCGAGGCUCAACCUCGGGCCUGCAGUGGGUACGGGCAGACUAGAGUGCGGUAGGGGAGAUUGGAAUUCCUGGUGUAGCGGUGGAAUGCGCAGAUAUCAGGAGGAACACCGAUGGCGAAGGCAGAUCUCUGGGCCGUAACUGACGCUGAGGAGCGAAAGGGUGGGGGGCAAACAGGCUUAGAUACCCUGGUAGUCCACCCCGUAAACGUUGGGAACUAGUUGUGGGGUCCAUUCCACGGAUUCCGUGACGCAGCUAACGCAUUAAGUUCCCCGCCUGGGGAGUACGGCCGCAAGGCUAAAACUCAAAGGAAUUGACGGGGACCCGCACAAGCGGCGGAGCAUGCGGAUUAAUUCGAUGCAACGCGAAGAACCUUACCAAGGCUUGACAUAUACGAGAACGGGCCAGAAAUGGUCAACUCUUUGGACACUCGUAAACAGGUGGUGCAUGGUUGUCGUCAGCUCGUGUCGUGAGAUGUUGGGUUAAGUCCCGCAACGAGCGCAACCCUCGUUCUAUGUUGCCAGCACGUAAUGGUGGGAACUCAUGGGAUACUGCCGGGGUCAACUCGGAGGAAGGUGGGGAUGACGUCAAAUCAUCAUGCCCCUUAUGUCUUGGGCUUCACGCAUGCUACAAUGGCCGGUACAAAGGGCUGCAAUACCGUGAGGUGGAGCGAAUCCCAAAAAGCCGGUCCCAGUUCGGAUUGAGGUCUGCAACUCGACCUCAUGAAGUCGGAGUCGCUAGUAAUCGCAGAUCAGCAACGCU